UUCGUAAAUUCAGUUUCUGUUAAGACUUCACUGUUCAUGGUUCUGAUACAAUUUUAUAACAAUCAUGUAAAUGUUUAUUUAAAAAAACACGUGACGGAAAUUCUGUUCUCCAGGUUAAUUUAUUUUUAAUAACAACGAUAUCCAAAAGUGCUGGAUGUUUUUACUUAAGUGUUACACAUAUCCACAUUUCAUAAAGUUCUCACUCGAGCUUUAUCACAGUGCAUUUACGGCAUUUAAACUAAUCGUAAAUACUGAUCCACUUUGAGAGCAAAGACCUUGAAAAUCAGUCAAAUUAAUAACAUUGUUGACCGGGGGUUGUGUGGUUUAAUUUGUGCUUGUUUUUUUUUUUUGAUGUUGCGAUAACCCAAAUAUUCCGCCAAAACUGAGACAUGCGUACAAAAAUUUGAAAAACCGCGAAACUUUAAAAAUUGGUCAUGAGGUGUAAACCUCUACAAAAUGGAGCCCUACGUUGUUUUUGAAAUGGCGGAAUGCGUUCUAAUGCAAAGUGGCGAAUUAUAAAGGUGGAAAAGUGCCCCUGAAUUAAAAAUCAUAAAUAUGGAAGUAACAUCUUUCUUAAUUUUAUUAAAGGGCUGUCUAAAUUGAUCUUGUGGUUGCUCUCUAUAGGAAGGAAAAUUACGAAAUGGGUGAAAACAUGAAAGCAUGAAGAGUUGUCUACAUUAUUAAGAGGAUUCUAUAAGACUAAUUGUGUUUAAACUUGUAUUAAAUAACUUACACGUUCGCAUUGGAGGCCAUUCCUGGUACAGUAAUGGGGGUUAGUUUAGCUUCUUCAGGUACUUUGACAGUUAGAGUCGACCUGGGACCAGUUUUCCAAGUGUUGCUAUCUUCAUCUACUACUGACGCCUCAACAACUAAUAAAUACUGACCUCCUUUUGGAAAUGCAAGAAGAAACUGUGCUGUGAAAAAGUCUUUAUGAGGAGUUACUGCUUGAGUUAAUACUGAACUUUGCUCUGUAUUCUGAAAACAAUAAAUUACACAACUUCACUGUUA